rnacentral:misc_RNA from 1 species
AACGCAUAUUGCGCUCUUUGGUAUUCCGAAGAGCAUGCUUGUUUGAGUAUCAGUAAACACCUCAAAGACUUUCAAUUUGUUUUGGAAUUCUUUGGACUUGAGCAAUCCCAACACCAGUCUUUACGAUCGGCGGAGGGUUGCUUGAAAUGCAGGUGCAGCUGGACAUUCUCCUGAGCUAUAAGCAUAUUUAUUUAGUCCCGUCAAACGGAUUAUUACUUUUGCUGCAGCUAACAUAAAGGGAGUUUGACCGUAUUGGCUGACUGAUGCAGGAUUUCACAAGGGUUGGAAACGACUCUUGUAAAACUCGAUCUCAAAUCAAGUAAGACUACCCGCUGAACUUAA